rnacentral:rRNA from 1 species
CCUACGGAGGACAGCAGUGAGGAAUAUUGGUCAAUGGACGAGAGUCUGAACCAGCCAAGUAGCGUGAAGGAUGACUGCCCUAUGGGUUGUAAACUUCUUUUAUAUGGGAAUAAAAUGUUCCACGUGUGGGAUUUUGUAUGUACCAUAUGAAUAAGGAUCGGCUAACUCCGUGCCAGCAGCCGCGGUAAUACGGAGGAUCCGAGCGUUAUCCGGAUUUAUUGGGUUUAAAGGGAGCGUAGGUGGAUUGUUAAGUCAGUUGUGAAAGUUUGCGGCUCAACCGGAAAAUUGCAGUUGAAACUGGCAGGCUAGAGUACAGUAGAGGUGGGCGGAAUUCGUGGUGUAGCGGUGAAAUGCUUAGAGAUCACGAAGAACUCCGAUUGCGAAGGCAGCUCACUGGACUGCAACUGACACUGAGGCUCGAAAGUGUGGGUAUCAAACAGGAUUAGAUACCCCGGUAGUC